UCAGGGAAAUAACAACCAAAAAUUGGUAUGCUGUUACACUUCUCUUUUAAAUGAAUUUCUGAGUUGUAUAGACAUGGUUUGAGCAAGAAUCUAAACAUAUGGAAAACAUUUAGUAAACGCUCACAGAGAUCAUAAUAUGGACAGCAGUUUUGAACUUUCUCUUCAAGAACAAAUAAGAAGAUAAUAGUGUAAAUAAUCUUCGAAACUGGCAACGAAAUCGAACUUUGAAAUUAUAGUCAUCACUUCUGGAGAUAUCAGAGACCACAUGCUGAGUGGAUAGACUGAAUCCUCCACGAUGUUUCUACCACACUGAAUAAUCAAAACAAUCCCUGGAGUCCAUAUUGUCCCCCUCUUACCUUCCCGGAUGGCUGUGAAAGGGACUCCCUCCUCUGCGUUCAUGCUGAUGACUUUUAGAGCUACCAGUUGUCCAUUUAUCCUAGAAAGGGGUGGGGCAGACACACAUACUCACUGAGAGGUUCAAAGCAACAGCUUAGAGUGGAGAUUCUAUUAAAAAACAAACAAAACCCUUUCCUUUACAAUGUAUCCUACUAUUUAAACCUAGAAUUUUCUCAAAACACAAAGCUCAUUAUGUAUAAAACAUGUUGCAUAUGUAUUUUGAAACAUCCUUCUCUUUGCUAAGGUGUGAUGUUUUCUUUAUAGAGCACCCAUAGAAAGCAGAGAGGCACAGAGUGACCAUCUCCUUCAUAAUACCUUCUGAUCCCUCUGGUGCACUUAAGCCAGCCUUGUGUGCCAUCUAACUUUGGCUGUGACUUCAUAACUGUCCCCUUGCUUGAACACUUGUACCUCUUUUUACUUUCAGUAGAGUAGCUGGGGACAUCAUCUGAAAGUGAGAGUCAACACCUCAUUUAGUUUUCAGACCUCAGAAUCUCCACAUUUCAUGUCAGACCUACCGCAGAGGAAUCAGACCCUGCUACAAGAGGGAGUGUCUGUCUGAAUCGCUUGGUUUACUAAAGAUGCUCCUCCCGGGAUACAAGUACCUCAAAUACAGCAGGCUCCGAGGUGCUUCCAGGCUGGCUCCUCUGACAGCUGUGCGCCUCGCCUCCCUCCGAACGGUGGUAGCAACUGCAUCCUGGCUGCCGGCUCUUUGCACACAGCUCUUGACCCAUACUAGUCCAGGUUCAAGGAGAAAACCGGCACUUGAACCUCUUCCCAUCCGUCUCUUCUCUCCUCAUUCGCUCCCCGCUCUGCCAGAGGUCAGCAGAGUGGAGCUUUCGUGUGACUCACACGAGGGCUCUGCCUGGAGCAGCCUCAUGACUUCAGCAGUUUUAGCUCAUCAGUGCAAAGAACUAUGCAUCAGAACCGCAGCGGCUGGCGCUCAUGUGUGCACACCCGAAAACAAGGAGGCUCUUACCGAGAGAAUACAACUGGGUGCACCAGGAGGCUCUUACCGAGAGAAUACAACUGGGUACACCAGCUUACCCCAGCCACCAGUCAGUUCUGUGGCUACACUCACUUUUCCAGAAUUCGACUAGUGUCUAUUGGGUUUCCCCUCGCUAAAGUGGUCAUGCCGAGGGGUGUCUUAUCCCUUGCUUUCCUGAAAGCCUCUUAGUUUUCAAACUUUUUUCUUUUGAGUCCUUGUCUCUCACAAGACUAGCCCAGCUAGCCUCCAAGUGGAGGUAAUCCUCCUGCCUCAGUUUCCCCAGUCCGGGAUUGCAGAUGUGUGCCAUCUGACUCAGAUUGGUUUUCCAACAUUCAAACGAGUGUGCCACCUAGCCAACUUUUAGAGUCAAAGGAACCAGAGAACGGUGGGGUGGAAAGGGAGCUGAGGAUUCCUCCCUCUGCCUCCAAACAGAAGUCCAUCUCAGUCUGACAGGGCAGUCAUUCCUUCAAACACUAUAUAAUAAAUGCCUGUGUUGAUAAAACUCUA